rnacentral:lncRNA from 1 species
GCUUCCCCGCCCGGCCGCCGCCAUGAUGAGGAGGUCGGCGCGGCUGUGCUGCGGGCAGGCAGCGGAGAGGGCUCGCGGCGAGGGCUCCAGCUUACCCCGCCGCCGCGUCGCGUGCACGGAGCGCUUCAGAGGUUUGGAGGGGGCCGGAACCUCAAAAGCAACUGGAUGAGCACAACGCGGACGCCCCGGAGAAGCGGCGCAAGCGGGCCCAAAAUGGUUGCUGAUCAGACGAGUGGCAUCUCUCGCCCCCCUACCGCGGGAAUUGGGACCUCCAGACUGUGCCUGGGGGAUCGGCAAGUGGUUCCCCUCUGGUUUUUUCGGCGCUGCCUUCCCGGUGGUAUCCUCACUCUCUCUCUUUGAAAUGACCUCUGCUUUCCUAUCUCUAACUCUUCCCAGAUAUUUGAAAGCAAGUUUUUGUACAAAGCAACAUAUGAAUGUAUUCAGCCAUUCGAUCGUUCGGCGAACAUUUCUAGGUGUCUCGUGCUGUGCCAGAUAUUGUUCUGAGUGCGCUGAAGAUGCACCUGUUAGCAAGACAAAGUCCUGGCUCCCACGGAGCUUAUUCGAAGCAAUAGGGGCCCCCAAGCAGGUGCCUGAGAAGUAGGGAGGGGUGGACAGUGGGAAAACAACCUAACGGUGGAGACACACGAGGGGUCUUUUUUUACUUUUAGAAACGGGGGUGGGUGGUCACCCUAUGUUGCCUAGGCUGGUCUCGAACUCCUGGGCCCAAGCGAUCCUCCCGACUCAGCCUCCCAAAGUGCUGGUAUUACAGGACACCAUGCCCGGCAGAGGGGUCGUUUUUGUUGUUUUUUUAGUGUCGUCAGGAGACUCCCUCCAUCAGAAUUACUCAGGCUGAUUGUUUUGAGUCCUGGGACCCAGUUGGUAUCCAGAAUCUUGGCUUGUUUGCCUAGGAACCUGCAUUUUCACAUCCCCAUCUCCACACCCCUGGUGAUUCUUAUGCAUAUAAUAAUGUGAAAAGCAUUGCAUUGAAGAAUUGCUAAAGGGUGUCAGAAAACGGAUUAACAAAAUCAGGAAGCUUUAAUUUUCAAGAUUCUAUUAACCUCAAAAUUCAACAUAUCCAAAAAUUGAAUGUCUUUUUCUCCAGUGUUUUCUAGGAGAGUGCCAACACUAGCCACCCAAGUGCUCAAGCCAGAAACCUGGAAAUGAUCCAUUACUCUUUCCUCUGUCUCUGGAGUCCCCAUGUUAAAUUAGAUGUGUUUGUUUGUGAGACAGAUUCUCACUCUAUUACCUAGGCUGGAGGGCAGUGGUGCAAUCAUUGUUCACUGCAGCCUCGACCUCUCUGGGCUCAAGGAUCCUCCCACCUCAGCCUCCCCAGUAGCUGGGACUACAGGUCCCCACCACCACGCCCGGCUAAUUUUUGUAUUUUUAGUAGAGAUGAGGUUUCAUCUUGUUGGCCCGGGCUGGUCUCGAACUCCUAGGCUCAAGUGAUCUGCCUGCCUUAACCUCCCAAAGUGCUGGGAUUACAGCCGUGAGCCACUGCACCCAGCCCCAAUUAGAUUUUUAAAACUGUUGUUCCCUGUCAGUUCUUACUCUGGUUCAGGCUACUGUCAUCUCUCCUAGAGACACUGCGGUAGACUCCUCUUGGUCUCCCUGCCACCGAAAUUGCCCUCUCCAAAUCCACUACAGCUUGAAUGGUCUUUCAAGAAAGAAAAUCAUGUUUUUUCCCUGUUUAAGACUCUUAAAAAGAUCUGAUUAACACGUAGGAUAAAGUCUAAAAUUCUUUGAGGUGGCUACAGGGCCAUUGGUGAUCUCAUCCCUGUUGCCAUCUCUGACCUCAUCUGCCACAGAUAUUUCUCAGGCUACACUCAAAACUGGGAAGCUCUCAGGUCAUUUAAGCCUGGAAAUUGUGCCACCUCACAACUGUUGCAAGGGCUGUUCCCUUUGCCCAUAACUUCAUUUCUCUCUACACCAUCUAUGCACUUACUUGAAUCCUCACCUGAAUAAUUCUUACCAUUCUUUCAGAUCCCAACAUUAAUACCAUCGCCUCCAGGCAGCAUUUUUUCAUCUCCCAAGAUUGGGUGCAUUAGACCCUUUGUCAUCACACCCAGUACUCCCCACGUUUAUUGAGCGCUCACGAUGCGUCAGGCCCUAGUGGAAGCCUUUAUGCACAUUAUCUUCUUUCUCAUUUAAUUAUCAAGUAGAGCCCACAAGGUAGGUACUACCUUUUUUUUAACUUUUGAGACAGGGUCUCACUGUAUCUCCCAGACUGGAAUACAGUGGCGCAAACACAGCUCACUGCAGUCUCAUCCUGGGCUCAAGCAAUCCUCCCAUCUCAGCCUCCUGAGUAGCUGGGACCACAGGCAGAUGCCUGUUGCCCAGGCUGGUCUCCAACUCCUGGGCUCAAGCCGUUCUACCUUAGCCUCCUAAAGUGCAGGGAUUACAGGUGUGCAACUGUGCCCGGCCUGGGUAGUUACUAAUAUUAUCCCAUUUUACAGAUGAAGAAACAAGGACAUAUAGGGGUUACUUGCCCAAACCCAGACAAUAAGCUAGAUCUGAAAGUCAUCAGCCUGACCUCAGAGUUGUACUUUUAACCAUUAUCAGGGUCUCAGGCCAGUACCCACUGAUGAAACACAUAAGUAACUUAGUGGGUCAUUACCAACAUUUCAUUAAAGAAAUAGAAAAUGGCAGAGAACAUCAAACUUAGUAAGGCUCUUGUUUCGUGAAACUUGUCAGAUUCUCUAAUAUGAUAAAUACUAAAUCUUACAAACAUUGAAAAUACAAAAUUAAACAAAAUAUUACCAAGGUUAACACAAAAGUAUGAAUACUGCAGAUCUGAUUUAUUUUACUAUCCUCAUCUUUAAUGCAGAACCUUCUUAGGAUUAAAUGACAUUUACCAUUCUGAGCAAACUGAGGUUACUGCCCCAAACGGACUGGGCUUACCUUUGCAGGAGAACAGGGGAGGCUGUGUUUUGGCUGGAGAUUUUUGGCUAAGAGUCAAGACACAGAGAUUCUUCUGCUACCACUGUGAACACAUCAAGUCCCUUUCACAUAGAUGCUGUUUCCACAAGGGUCUCCCCACACCCUUCCCUACAGAUUAGAUUCCCGUGAUGCCUUAUUUAAUUCUUGUUGGAUCUGUUGAUUUGGUUAUGAAGUAGGUGAAAUUCUGGUAACCUCACCCAGGUUCCUUCCCCUCUUGAUUAGAUCCAGCCAGUCUGUUCGCUGGAUGAUUAAAUUUGGCAUUCAUUUUUCUGUGCUUUCCCUAUCUGCUACUAUCCUAAAGUCAUUCUAAUGACCAAAAAAGGUGCCUUGAGCCAGACUGUAGAGGGUUCUAAUGGCCUCCUUAGAAAUUGUGUUUUUUUGUUUUUUUUUUGAGAUGAGGUUUCGCUCUUGUUGCCCAGGUUGGAGUGCAAUGGUGCGAUCUUGGCUCACUGCAACCUCCGCCUCCCGGGUUCAAGCGAUUCUCCUGCCUCAGCCUCUCAAAUAGCUGGGACUACAGGCAUGCGCCACCACGCCCGGCUAAUUUUGUGUUUUUAGUAGAGACGGGGUUUCACCAUGUUGCCCAGGCUGGUCUCGAACCCCUGACCUCAGGUGACCCACCCACCUCGGCCUCCCAAAGUGCUGGGAUUACAGGCCUGAGCCACCAUGCCUGCCAAGGAACUGGUUCUUAGUAGGCAAUAGACAGUUGACAAUUUUGAGCUAAGCACUAAGGUCAUAGGAGUGUAGAUUCACCAGGGAGUGAGUUGGGCUUCUGGUCUCUAGAGGGCGCUCAAGGCUUCUCCCUCCCCACCCUCUUCCUUCCCCCAAGGUGGAGGUAGGAUGGUGAAGAAAUUUCAUCUCCCCACCACCAAACACACACAAAGGAAGAAAAUCUUACUAAAAUUGGAGAAUAUGGAAUAACAUUUUCUUGGGAUGGAGCCCUUAAAAGAUAACACGUUCAACAGAAAGUGCUGCGUCUUUCCCGUUCUUCAACAUACUCUGAGUGGUAACAAGGGCUGCCCUUGCCUUUCUCAGAGGCAGCCCAGCCAGCUUGUUCUCUUUCCCUCUCCCACAAGGUAGCCAGGCCCUAAGGCUAUGGCCCACAGAAAAAGUCUUAGCAAGGCCCCGGGCUUGGGGCAAAGAGGCUGUGGAUUUGUCUUUCUCUCUACUUUUUCUGGUUAGUGUGCCUCUAUCCCACUCGGAAGAAAAGUUCCAAGACUCAAAUUUGGGCAUUGAUGUGGGGAGGAUAGACAGAGAUGACCAGAAUCCAGCCUAUCUUUCCUGACUUCUGCAUUGUGGUUCAUACCCAGCUAAUAAUAAAGUGUUCCUUUCCCUGGUGUGUCAUUGCACAUGUACUCCCCACACUCCUGAUGAGUAGAGAUGGCUGGCCAAGACAGGAUUCAGACAUUCCCACAUCCCCAACCAAACAUCCUCUCCAUACCAUCUUAUUAAUCAGUCUUUGAACAAUUUCCUAAACUCCCUAACAGGUUGGAGAUGGCUGGAAGAAAUGAAAAGAAGAACGCCAACAAAGGCGAUAAAGAAAAAUUCAACACUGCUUGAUAACUGAUGAGAUAGUGAAGGAGUAGGAGGGCAAAAGUCAGAAGUAAUUCCAGGUGUUCAAGAACUAAAUGCUGAAGAGAUGUUAGUGUCGUUGACGGUCUUCUAAUGGGAAGUGAAUUUCAAUAGAAAGAGGAUGUGUUUGGUUUCAGACAGACCGAGUGACUGGUGACAACAGGAAAGCCACGUGUUUGGAGCAGAUUACUCGGUACAGUCAGCAGCUGGAAUGGAAGUGAAGAAGGCCCAGCAGAGCAUCAGACCUGAGUGCAAACUAUGGUGGUGUUGGUGGAAUAGAGGGAAGGGAGAGAUUUGAGAGACAUUGGGAAGAAAGGUUUUGGUUUUUGAGACAGAGUCUUGCCCUGUCAUCCAGGCUGGAGUGCAGUGGCAUAAUCUUGGCUUACAGCAAACUCCACCUCCCGGGUUCAAGCAAUUAUCAUGCCUCAGCCCCCUAAGUAGCUGGAAUUACAGGCAAGUGCCACCACAUUCAGCUAAUUUUUGUAUUUUUAGUAGAGACAGGGUUUCACCAUCUUAGCCAGGCUGGUCUCAAACUCCUGACCUCAGGUGAUCCACCUGCCUCGGCCUCCCAAAGUGCCGGGAUUACAGGUGUGAGUCACCAUGCCCAGCCACCAGAAGUUUAAUCAAGGCUCAGAGACUGAUUCCAGUUUGAGUUUUCUAAUAACUGUCUAAUACUUAGCUAAUAGCUUUGGACAGUUGCUCUUUUUAAAAUGAGAUCAUUCAAUCAUUGCAUUCAUCUUUGGGUAUGACUCACUAGUCAACAGAGUCCCCCUUCUGUAGAAACUGCCUCAUUCACAGAGAUGACCUCCACCAGUCAUGCCUAUAUUUGAGACCCUGUCUCUCUUUAUCCCCCAUUGCUGCGUGAUUCAAGGGUGGUCACCUGACCCAGGCAGUGCCAAGUUUAUUCUCUGUCUUGGGAAUUUAGAAUGUUUGUUUGGCUAAGAGACACAGAAACUGGAAGCUGGAGCUGAUGAUGGAGCUGAUCACGCUAAUGAUGGAGCUAUAGAGAUAAGAUGCAUGAACACCACCGAGGUCCCCAAGAUUGCCAUAUUCCUGCAGUGCCUUCUGGCCACAGAUAGUUGGUCCAGAAGCAGGUUCCUGACUCAACCUGGGCCAAUUAGAGCCUUUCACGGAGAUUUUGAAAUCAAAGUUGAGAUCUCUCUUUCUCUCUAUGCCCUUUGGUGUAUGUGUACUUGAGCUACAAGUUACCCAACUUUGGAAGCUGUAGACAGAGGCAAUUUUCCACUAAAUGAAGUGAGAAACAGAAAGUCCAUCAUUAGUGAGAGAGGAGCAAGGCAGAUGCACACAGAGAAGCAGAUAGAGGGGAAGCGGGCGGGAGUGGGGCGGGAGUUCCUGGAGUCCCCACAGUGCUCUAGUUUCUGAUUCUCUUCCUAAGACCCACAGGAUUCCUGCCUUUGGGUUUCUUAAGUUCCUGAAUAGCUCCUGAUUGCCUUUGUCUUUUUUACGAAAGUCCUUUGAGCAUGGUUUCAGGUGAGCAGACAGUCCUAACCUAAAGAGCUGUAACAAAUACACGUGGGCUGUGUGUGAGAUUCGGGGAGAGGCACCAGGGAUCCAGUGUGGGUCAGGCGUGGUGCCGCCCUCAAGGAACUUAGUGGGGAGAAAAUGAAGUCUGUACUUCAAUAACUACAGUGCAGGCUAGGAAGAGAACACCCUUAGAGAUGUGCAAAUCAAGCUCUUUGGGAGUUUAGAGGAGGCCUAGGACUGCUAAGGAAAGGCUGGGACUAGGAAGAGGUAAGCAAGUCACUGAGGAGGCAAAAUUUAAGAAGCCACCCACUCUCAGGGUGUGUGAAUGCAGCGUUGGCACUUGCAUGACCCUGAGAAUGAGCAACCCCUUAAAUGUAUCUUAGGCACCUUGCCAGACUCACUUUUAGCUUGCUGGACUAAUUGUGGGGAUCAGUAGGCCUUCAGAGGAAAGUUAGUGUCUGAGCUGAACUGAAGGAUGGGGUGGUUUUGGACUUGGUGGCAAUGUCAUCUACCUCAAGGUAAAGUAACAAUAUGGAAAACGCUCCCGUGAAAAUUCACAAGGUCUGUUCUAGGAUCAUCAGGCUCUUCGGUGUGACUUAAGAGUUCAGAGCAUGAAGGAGGAGGGGGCAGUAAGAAAAAUGGAGAGAACGUAGCAUCAGAUUCUGCAGGCAAGGAGAAAAUUGCUAAGCUGGGAAAUAACAUAAUCAGAGCGGUACUUAAGAUGAAUCUAACGGAAUAGCAUGAAAUAAAGGAAAGGCUAAGGAGAGGACAAACAGGAGGCUAUUGUGGCAAUCCAGGCGUGAAAGUCUAAACUAAUCAGCACUGGGAAUAGAGAUGCCAUAGGAAAAAUAAUACAUCAUUAAUAUAACUUGGCAAUUGAGUAGAUGUUGGAGACAAGAGAGAAAUCAGAAACACUGCUAAACACUAUGCAGCUAUAACAAAGAAUGAGAGAGCAUUCAGUAAGAUCACAUCCAAGAUAUGUACAUGAAAAACACAAGGGAUAGAACUGUGUAUAUGGCAAGCUAUCACUUGCAUUUUUUAUUUUUUAAAUGGUAUUUAUUUAUUUCUUGUUUUUUCCUUUUUUUAAGACUAAAAAAUCAAUUAUAAAAUCCUCAA